AUAAACUCGUUUAAAAUUAUACUAUUAGUUGUAUACAUUUUCGUAAUUCACGAAAAGUUUUAAUACUGUCAGGAAUGUAAUUUGAUCUCAUUUUACUUUAUCAAAUAGUAGACUUUGUUAUCAACAUUUUAAUGUUUUAAAAUCUACCAAUGAAAAUUUAAAUGCACCAUAGAACCUUGUGGACCUCUGCUCUGAAAACUUAUGGAUCUAAAACAAAAAUUCCAUAGGUUUUUGGGGGCUGAAAACUUAUGAAAAUAAAACAGAAAUUCUAAACGUUUUUGGAGCCUGAAAACUUCAUGAAAAUACACACACUACAACGGAUUUCAAAGCCUGAAAUCGCAUGGAAAAAUUAAACAAAAAUUCGAUAGGAUUUCGGAGACAUUUAUUUAAUAGGCGGUGUACACAUAAAAACUACUCCUUAAACAUGUAAC
rnacentral:lncRNA from 1 species